ACCCGGGCUAGAGAGGACAGCGGGCCGCAGGUUUAGUCCUGGUUGUGGAGUGAGAUGCUGAGAUGGGUCUGGAGGGAUGCAGGAUGUUCUAGUCCGUUAGGAUGGUAAAUAGGGACCUCGCUCCGCGAAGGAUGCUGAACGGGGUCUGGAAGAAUGCAAGAUGUCCUGGUCCGGGCCAGGAAUGGUGUGAUGUGCAUGCUUUUAAUCCCAGCACUCAGGAGGCAGAGGCAAGUGGAUCUCUGUGAGUUCUUGGCCAACCUGGUCUAUAUGGUUACAUGGAUAGUGGGAUGUCAGAAGGGGAAUUGUAGUGAAUCACCCUUCUAUCCAAUCAACUGACAACACAGCAAUGAUCCCACAUCAUCCCAGCCCGAGAAAAAAUCAGGGUUGGUGCCGGUGCUGAGCAGCUACUGGCCAGGAGCUGGAUGUCAGAUCCCUGGGAGGAUAUGAGAGGAUGUUUCCAGAAAGACCGAACUAAAAAGGAACGUCCAACCCUGAAUGUGGAGGACAUCCUCCUCUGGGCUGGGCUCCCAGACUGAGUAAGAAGAAAAUAAGUUGAGCUCGCCCCCCCCCCCCCCCCCAGCGCUGUAGAUACAGUGUGACCAGUUACCAGCCAACCCCCUGUUGCAGUGCCUUUUUCUUUUUCUUUUUUUUUUUUCUUCCCUACCACUAUGAACUGUUCACUCUUAAGCUGAGAGCUAAAAUAAACUCUUCCUUUUGUCC
ensembl:processed_transcript